CAACAACCACCACGGCGGCAAAAUAUCACCGGAAAUUACAAAAAAAGGAGGGGAAAAGCUGCUUUUUGGGGGUUGAAGAUAAUGGAAAAUCAUGCUUUUUUUCCAAUAAAGGUGGUUUCCUGGACGUAAAAUGCAAGGGAAGAAAAAGCGAGAGAAAAGGGGUUGACGGAAUUCUGUGAAGGUUGAAGAUAAGGGAAUUCAAGUGAAGAAGUAUGGAAAAGAAAGGAAAAAGGAGGAAAAUUAUUGAUGAAGAAUGGUUGUUAUUGGAAGAGAAAAACAUGGAGAUUACUGUUUGUUUCUCGAGAAUUUUGGUUUACCUGAAAUCGAAAUAUCUCUCUCCCUCUCUCAGGCUCUGCACCUCUGCAGGACGAACAGUGGAAGACAUUUUCUUUAUUUUUGGGGUCAAAGUGUUAAUUUUUAUAAACUAAAAUGAUCCCUGAAGUUUAAAAAAUGAGGUAUGUCCCCCAUAACGUAUAUCCAUUUGUGGAAUGGACUAUUGUCGUGUUAAACGUGUCAUGAUGUGAGUGAUUUGGAAUUUAAUGGCCCAAUGAGAUUGAGUUUUACAUACA